CUAGCAUCACAGUAAAAGUGUUUCACCUAAACCUCAAGCAUACAAGAGGAUAAUGAAAUAAAAACAAAUGUAAAUCAAAAAGGGUGUAAAGUGGGUUUUAGUUUUACUCCUUUUAUGUGUCUUUGUUUUUAAGCAGUUUAUUGUAAUAGUGACACAACUUUACAUUAAGUUGUGUUAAUAACAACAAAAUACUACUUAAUGAUACUAAUGCUGCGUUCCAGGCAGGUUUUGAGCCCGCAAAUCACGACUUCAAAACCACGACUCAGUCAAGACUCAAAACUUGGAGUAGGACUACGCGUUGCCUGGAACGCAGCAUAAUAUUUAUUAUAGCGUAUCUUCUUUCCCGAUGACACGACGUAGCUUGCAAUGCAUCUUGGACACAGUAGUCUAUAAACUUCUACAACGUUUGAGACGCUUUGUGAAAAGGACUACAUUUCCCAUAAUGCCCCGCCCAACGCUCGCUGGAGAAACCGGAAGCGCGAAUUUGAAACGCUGAACCAACGACGCGGGACCUUUUGUUUGUAUUGUGAAGAGCUGUAUAAUAAAGCAAGAAAUCAUGUACACAUUAUCAGCUUUAGAAGUGGAUGUCAUUCCUGCAGUCUUUGUGAAGAAUGAUGCGAGUUAAAUUUAUUUCAUUUGAACAACCUAACAGGUUAAACGGUAAACAAAUCUGUGUAUUUGAUAUGACUUUGAUAGAUAUUGUUACAACUUGGAAAACAACAAACCAAACCAGUCAGAGACAGCGAUGUGAGGACAUCAACAGAAAAUAAAAGUCGUUUGGUGCGCGAUUACAGACAGCCCUCUCACAGACAGCCCUCUCACUCGGACAUUCACGUAACCCGGCUGCGCGCAUCAAAAGGUUUUUACGGAAGCAGAUGAAGAUGCUGUAAGAAGUCCUUUAUGUGCACAGAGAUGGAGGUUGAAAAGUUACUAAAACACGCUCAUAUUAGGCACGGUUCCUUGAAUCGUGCCUGAGCUCGCUUUCAUCAUUAGGAUGCGAUUGUUUGCAGAACACAAGAAGUAAAGCACUGUCAAUGUGAGUCAAACAACUGCUCGACUGAGGAGUUGAAGAGAGAAGGGCAGCUGCACAUUUCUAAAAUUGUGAAAGCACUCUGUCGGCUACACAACUCGGAGGCAAAUUGUAGGCACUAUCACCAGGAGCAGAGAUUAAGCUCACCACAUAAUGGGAAGGACACCUCAUUUUUAGUGGGAGCACUGGCUACAAGCCUGGAGUUGCACAAUGAAGGCCUUGAUAAAAAUUAAUUUGUGGCCUGCAAGACAUUACCAGAGCUAGCCAGUGUGGCCACAUCACGGAGUGACCAGAGGAGGAAGAGGUUGUGUUUCAGCUCUUGGAGUCAAACCCAGUGUACUAGCUGUGGACAAAGUGGGCUUCUGAAGGGGAAUCACCACUGACAUGAUUUCAGAUGAAGAAUACAAUGCUGUUGAUGGAGUGUCGGGUGGAUUGUGAGACCUUCAUCGUUCUGCAGUCAGGCGCUCCGCAAUCUGUGUGCUAAGCUGCAGCUGCAACUGUGUGUGUUCAAACUAUGCAGCGUUGCAUCACAGUCUGCAAUCUGAAUUGCUGUCUAACAGAAUGCCACCGCUUACCUAUGACCCCAAGGCAGCAAAAUGAACACAUUUGAUGCCAAAUGUGAUCCCAACAACAUAAUCGUUGGCUUUUUUUUGACUUUGUGUGUAUUUAUUUUUCCUAUGCUUUAUUAAUAAAACUCUUAAAUUUUAUCAACAUGUCUCUCCCAAAUGUCUGUUUUCUUUCCCUAAUAUUUUUUUAUUAAUGCCCUUAGCCCAUGGUAUACGUUACAUAGUCUUUAUAAUAUUAGCCUUCAUGACACAUAAAUUUUUUGUUAUAUCUCAUAUAAUAUAUCUAAUAUAAACCGUAAUUUUAUUAAAUAAUAAAAGGGAGGGGUUUAUUCAAAAUAGUAUUAUAAUUGCCCAGACUGGCCAAUCGCAACAAAUAUAUCAGCCAAUGACAGAUGCUAUUUCUGUUUUAAAAGUUGUUGCUACCGAAACUGCUCAUUUUUAAUACGUACAUUUAAACUUGUGUGCAAAUAGUAUAAAAUAGUGAGUUUAUUCAAUAUAAAAUACAUUAGGUCCCCUGUUAAAUAGUGAAGUGUGACAUCUGUUUAAUUGCAACUACAUUUCUUUACAUGAGAAAAGAUUUCAGGGGUUUAAACUUAAACUAUUAUGUUUAUUUAAUGCAUUGAAAUGUUUUAGUUGGUUCAGUUAUAUUGUCUU